UACGUAGGUGACCAGCGUUGUCCGGAUUUACUGGGCGUAAAGAGCGCGCAGGCGGUCGUUCAAGUCGAGUGUGAAAGCCCCCGGCUCAACUGGGGAGGGUCACUCGAUACUGAUCGACUUGAAGGCAGGAGAGGGAAGUGGAAUUCCCGGUGUAGUGGUGAAAUGCGUAGAUAUCGGGAGGAACACCAGUGGCGAAGGCGGCUUCCUGGCCUGUUCUUGGACGCUGAGGCGCGAAAGCUAGGGGAGCAAACGGGAUUAGAAACCCCGUAGGUCCAA
rnacentral:rRNA from 1 species